rnacentral:rRNA from 1 species
CUACGGAAGGCAGCAGUGGGGAAUUGUUCGCAAUGGGCGCAAGCCUGACGACGCAAUGCCGCGUGGAGGACGAAGAUCUUCGGGUCGUAAACUCCUGUCGAGCGGGACGAACGGCCCGGGGCCUAACACGCCCUGGGAGUGACGGUACCGCUAAAGGAAGCCCCGGCUAACUCCGUGCCAGCAGCCGCGGUAAUACGGGGGGGGCAAGCGUUGUUCGGAAUUACUGGGCGUAAAGGGCGCGUAGGCGGCCUUCUAAGUCGGACGUGAAAUCCCUCGGCUUAACCGGGGAACUGCGUCCGAUACUGGAGGGCUUGGAUCCGGGAGAGGGAUGCGGAAUUCCAGGUGUAGCGGUGAAAUGCGUAGAUAUCUGGAGGAACACCGGUGGCGAAGGCGGCAUCCUGGACCGGCAUCGACGCUGAGGCGCGAAAGCCAGGGGAGCAAACGGGAUUAGAUACCCGUGUAGUCCU